rnacentral:rRNA from 1 species
GACGAACGCUGGCGGCGUGCCUAAUACAUGCAAGUUGAGCGCUGAAGGUUGGUACUUGUACCAACUGGAUGAGCAGCGAACGGGUGAGUAACGCGUGGGGAAUCUGCCUUUGAGCGGGGGACAACAUUUGGAAACGAAUGCUAAUACCGCAUAAAAACUUUAAACACAAGUUUUAAGUUUGAAAGAUGCAAUUGCAUCACUCAAAGAUGAUCCCGCGUUGUAUUAGCUAGUUGGUGAGGUAAAGGCUCACCAAGGCGAUGAUACAUAGCCGACCUGAGAGGGUGAUCGGCCACAUUGGGACUGAGACACGGCCCAAACUCCUACGGGAGGCAGCAGUAGGGAAUCUUCGGCAAUGGACGAAAGUCUGACCGAGCAACGCCGAGGGAGUGAAGAAGGUUUUCGGAUCGUAAAACUCUGUUGGUAGAGAAGAACGUUGGUGAGAGUGGAAAGCUCAUCAAGUGACGGUAACUACCCAGAAAGGGACGGCUAACUACGUG